rnacentral:lncRNA from 1 species
AAGGUCACAGAGCAGGAUGAGAAUGGAACCGGGAGACAGGAACAAAGCAGAGACCCUGAAGCCUGGUCUGUGGGCAGAAAAGCCUCUAGAGGCCCGACUAUCAAAGGGACAUGAUGCCUUUAAGGAGGAUGAAGUCAUCGGGGGAUGAGGCCACCUGGCUCUGCAGCCAGGGCUGCUGCCGAAAAGGAGGAGCAGAAGGUGGAAGACUGUCAUUCCACUCACACCUACCAGGUUCAUCAUAAG